rnacentral:lncRNA from 1 species
GGACGACGAGGCGAUUGGCCGCAACAACAGGUUUUCCCUUAGUCGCCCGAGUGAGCUAGAAAAACCCUAGUUCCUCAUCAAAGAACCCUCCUUUCCCUCGCUAAGCCAUCAAAACCGCCACCACAAGAAAUCCGUCAACUGAAUCGAACAGAUCAAAUCAAGAGAGUGGUCCCCCCCAAAUCCCCCUUCCUACCAAUUAAAACCCGAUCUUGCACCCAAAAGGUCAAUCUUUCUCACAGAAAUCAAUCCAAACAGAGUGAAAAAAAACUUAUCUGAAUUAUUAGUCCUCCUCAGAACGCCCAACUGAGCUCCUCCCGCAUCAGAAACCUCGCCCCACCUCCCAGAACCUCUAAAAGAUGGUAAGUUCCGCCUUGGACUUAAUCUAGGAGGAGGUUCUGUUCCCCUUCCGCGACGGAAACAACUCCGGAUGGCCUUCCAAUUCCGCAGGAAAUCAAAGCAACGCCCUCAUGAAAUUUCCAAAAGACCCCUUCGUCCCCCACGUACCUUAUCCAGCAAUACCGCAACAGUUGUCUCCGCCUUCGGCUCCAAAUCGCUCGAUCCCAAGGCCACCGCACGCAAUCGAAUCAUUUGUUUCCUUGCAUUUUGCUUGGCAUGACAGGAGAGUCACGGCCGUCCACAACGCCGCGCUG